GAUUGCUCCAUGAUUCCAAUGGUCUGUCUGCCUGACAGGGCCAGCCAAAGGGAGAAAGAGGGCUCUGUUCUAACCAGAAGGCUAGAUGCUAAAUGAACUUGACUCAGGGGAUGGCAGUGAGACUAUUCCUGAUGUGACAGCUCAGGUGUUAAUGAAAAAAUGCACACAAUCCUGACAGAUGGGACUGGUUCAUGAAGGAGGGGACGGCCAGCUCAGUGUUUCAGAGACCACAGGACCAGCUUCCCAUCCAGAGCAAAGUCUGGUAUCCUGGAUGUGGUCCUGCUGGCUACUGGCCAAACACAGGACAAGAUGUCCUGACACCCUCCUGAAGAAUAACAAGAAAGGAGUUUUUGAGAACAGAGACAUGGAAGUCAUGCCAAAGAGAGAGGAGCCAGAGCUCACUCAGGGGAGAAGCCAGAGCCAGAGCUGGAGGUGA
rnacentral:lncRNA from 1 species